rnacentral:rRNA from 1 species
CACUAGCAUCCUCGAGUGGUAGUCGCGAUUAUUUGGCUUAAAGCGUCCGUAGUCGGGCCGUUAAGUCCUCUGUGAAAUCCUGCGGCUUAACCGUAGGGCUUGCAGAGGAUACUGGCGGCCUUGGAGCCGGGAGAGGUCGGGGGUAUUUCUAGGGUAGCGGCGAAAUGCUAUAAUCCUGGGAGGACCACCGAUAGCGAAGGCACCCGACUAGAACGGGCUCGACGAUGAGGGACGAGAGCUAGGGG